rnacentral:rRNA from 1 species
UACGGGGGGGGCAAGCGUUGUUCGGAAUUACUGGGCGUAAAGGGCUCGUAGGCGGCCAACUAAGUCAGACGUGAAAUCCCUCGGCUUAACCGGGGAACUGCGUCUGAUACUGGAUGGCUUGAGAUUGGGAGAGGGAUGCGGAAUUCCAGGUGUAGCGGUGAAAUGCGUAGAUAUCUGGAGGAACACCGGUGGCGAAGGCGGCAUCCUGGACCAACACUGACGCUGAGGAGCGAAAGCGUGGGGAGCAAACAGGG